rnacentral:rRNA from 1 species
UACAGAGGGGGCAAGCGUUAUUCGGAAGUAUUGGGCGUAAAGGGCGCGUAGGCGGCUUUUCAAGUGACGGGUGAAAUCCCUCGGCUUAACCGAGGAACUGCCUGUCAGACUGGAAGGCUUGAGACCGGGAGAGGUGAGUGGAAUUCCCAGUGUAGCGGUGAAAUGCGUAGAUAUUAGGAAGAACACCGGUGGCGAAGGCGGCCCACUGGUCCGGUACUGACGCUGAGGUGCGAAAGCGUGGGGAGCAAACAGG